rnacentral:rRNA from 1 species
UACGGAGGGUGCAAGCGUUAUCCGGAUUUACUGGGUUUAAAGGGCGCGCAGGCGGAUUGGUAAGUCAGUGGUGAAAUACCCGUGCUUAACAUGGGAACUGCCAUUGAUACUAUCAGUCUUGAAUGUUGUUGAGGUUUGCGGAAUGGGUCAUGUAGCGGUGAAAUGCAUAGAUAUGACCCGGAACACCUAUUGCGAAGGCAGCAGGCUAAACAAAUAUUGACGCUGAGGCUCGAAAGCGUGGGGAUCAAACAGG